rnacentral:rRNA from 1 species
GAUGAACGCUGGCGGCGUGCCUAAUACAUGCAAGUCGAGCGAACAGACGAGGAGCUUGCUCCUCUGACGUUAGCGGCGGACGGGUGAGUAACACGUGGAUAACCUACCUAUAAGACUGGGAUAACUUCGGGAAACCGGAGCUAAUACCGGAUAAUAUAUUGAACCGCAUGGUUCAAUAGUGAAAGACGGUUUUGCUGUCACUUAUAGCUGGAUCCGCGCCGCAUUAGCUAGUUGGUAAGGUAACGGCUUACCAAGGCGACGAUGCGUAGCCGACCUGAAAGGGUGAUCGGCCACACUGGAACUGAGACACGGCCCAGACUCCUACGGGAGGCAGCAGUAGGGAAUCUUCCGCAAUGGGGGAAAGCCUGACGGAGCAACGCCGCGUGAGUGAUGAAGGUCUUCGGAUCGUAAAACUCUGUUAUUAGGGAAGAACAAAUGUGUAAGUAACUAUGCAGGUAUUGACGGUACCUAAUCAGAAAGCCACGGCUAACUACGUG